rnacentral:lncRNA from 1 species
AUGGCGCAUCACCGUUGCAUUCCCAUUGGACUCAUGCACCUCCCGGAUGGUUUUGGUUUUUUUUUUUUUUUUUUUUGUUUUGUUUUCUUGAAACGUCUCAUUUCAGUCGUGGCUGCUGUGAACCCACAACUUCUCAUUUCUUCAUUUCUGCAGGAAAACUGCAGCUGCUGGGAUUCUCUGAAGAGAGAAAGAGAAAAAGCACCAAGCCAUUUCUGCAUGUUUCUGCCUCCCUGUGGUUGGUGGAAAAUCCUAGGAAAGAAAACUAAUGCUCAUCCACACUACAGGACAAUGCGGGAAAAAUUGACUCUGGAAUUGAAUGCACUUAGGUGAGCUGACUCAUUGUGCUUUAGAGCUGCUGGUUCCUCACCGAGCAAACACAGUGGGAAGGACUCUGCCCUCCGGAGAGGAUAUGAUGAUGGCAUAACAGGAUCAGGGACUUUACCCAGCUUAGGUGCUCCCUGAAGACUGACCCAGUGGUCCCUGCUGCUGCCCACACCAACCUCCAAGCCUCUGGACUAUCUGCAGACCUCUAGGGGAGCCAUGCGGGAGGCACAAGCUAGGGACCCACUCCCAAUGGAGUUUCUGCUUAAUGGUUUCCAAGAAUUUUCACUUUAUUAUACAUUUUUUCCCAGACUUCAGUCUGACUUGACUAAAAUGUAGAGAGACCUCACAAAUUUGGGGUGGCCAGAGCCACAUGCCUUCCUAAGCUUAUCACACUCUAUGGGCCCAAGUUUAACACCAUCUCCAAACAAAACAUCUAUUUCUGGCCCAAAGAAGGCCCUAGAAGGCCUGAUCUGUCUACUUCAUCAAGUGGUGCACUUGCUUGGAAGGGGGCCAACCAUGUUGGAGUCCUGGCCAGCCAAAAGUACCCAAGCCACUUUUGGAGAGGGCAAGCGGAAGUGAGGGCUCUGAUUUUCAUGUUAAAUCCCCAUUUGGCCUCAGAAAUGUUAAAAAUAAACUUUCA